AUUGAACGCUGGCGGCAUGCUUUACACAUGCAAGUCGAACGGCAGCACGGGUGCUUGCACCUGGUGGCGAGUGGCGGACGGGUGAGUAAUACAUCGGAACGUAUCCAGAAGAGGGGGAUAACGCAUCGAAAGAUGUGCUAAUACCGCAUAUUCUCUGAGGAGGAAAGCAGGGGAUCGAAAGACCUUGCGCUUUGGGAGCGGCCGAUGUCUGAUUAGCUAGUUGGUGGGGUAAAGGCCUACCAAGGCGACGAUCAGUAGUUGGUCUGAGAGGACGACCAGCCACACUGGGACUGAGACACGGCCCAGACUCCUACGGGAGGCAGCAGUGGGGAAUUUUGGACAAUGGGCGCAAGCCUGAUCCAGCAAUGCCGCGUGAGUGAAGAAGGCCUCGGUUGUAAGUACGUCUUUCUAGUCGAGAAGAAAAGAACGUAGCGAGUGAAGUAACUAGUAGUU
rnacentral:rRNA from 1 species